GUGGCAGCUCCACGCUUCCAUAAUUUGGUAAUCAAAAUAUGUAACUUAAUUAAUUAUAUUGUGACGUACUUUUGCCUUUUCUUAUUAUUCUGCCUUCUCAAUAACUAUCAAAGCCUAUUCACAUUUAAUUUGGCUUUCACAGAAAUCCUACCUCUCCUUCUGGCUACAGAGUACUUACCAAGGUUAGAAACAAAGAACAGUUAUGCUUUAUUAAUGUUCGCUAAUUACAAUGUUCCACAUUUCCUUGCUUUUUAAGUCAUUUUUAGGCUUUUUAGAGUUUUUGUUUUUUAUUUUUUUAGCAGUAAUGUUUCUGCCUAUUUAUUUCAGCCCAUGAAAUCGAAUGCAGAUCUUCCUAAUGUGAGAUUUACAUAAAUGUAAGUAAUUUUGUUUGUCAUUGUCAUUAAUGUUGUUGCUGUUGUUGUUUUUGUGCAGUUUGCAAUCAUAUAAACCUAGCAAGCAUCAGUCAGCACAGUGACUAACCUAAACAGAUUCUUGCUUUAUUCACAUAUAUUAUAUGUAAUUAUAUAUACCUGCACAUUGUACCUAGGGUUGCAGCCACUUGGCCCCACCCCAUUGUUGUGACAGCCCUGAUUGUACUUAUACACUGCAUCUGAACAGGGAACAGUCUGCCACAUUAAUGUAUUUUUAAGUGACUUGUUUGUAAUACAUGAAUUUGUUUUUUACAGAUGUCAAAGUCUCAACCUCAUGCUGCCCUCCCCCAUCCUCCUAAAGUAAGUAUUUGUUGUUGUAGUUUUUUAUGCGGUGUCUGUGUCACAUGCUAAUCAUAAUUAUUGAAAUAACUGUUUUCUAACAGAUUUUCCAAAACACUAGUUAGGUUUGUUGUCAUUCAGACCAAUACUACUGCUUAGACAUUGCAUAUGCAUAGAUACAGUCGUAGUGCUUGACACAUGCAAACAGCAGUAGAUGUACUAAAAAGGAAAUAAUUACAAUCAUGAUGUUGAUUGCUGAUGUCAGUAUAUAUAUUUUAGAGGAAUGUUUUGUUUUUCACCCAAAAUGAACUAUAUUGCUUCAGAAGAGAUUUAUUACCCUACCGGACUCUUAUAUAUUGUUCUGUUUUUUGUUUGUUUUUGUUAUUUUCAGGUUCAAUGGUGCGUGUUCUUCUAAUGGCCGCCUUCCCACUGGAGGUUUUGAUCCACAGCAAUUUAAAAGGAGGACAGAGCAAAACGGACAUCGGCGCAGAGUGAAGAACUGCCCUUGAUAAGGACACUAUGACAGCCAUAUAUAUGGCGGUAAGGAAGGGGUUUCCCAGCAUGUCCAGAAGGGCUUUGAGGAUUGCCGUGAAAGCUGGGGGAACUGAGACUGCUGGAAAAGGAAAAGAAAUUACAUUUUAAGUAUGCUGACUUA